CAACCGAGACCUACAGAUCCAGUCCAAGCUGCAAAGUUUUCUUCUGAGUGUGGCAUCCACAUCAGGGGCGGAAUGCAUGUUGCUAUGCACUGGAAUGACUAUGACAAAAGCCCACUCAAACAUGUUAUUCCCCAUGCUAUUAAAGAUAUCGCGCUUAACUUUGAGAUGGAAAAGGAUGACAAGGUUGGGAAUGAUGUAUGCACAAAAGUAAUCCAGAAGGGUGUUCGACAACAACGCUACAGGCUAAAGAAGAAAUACUUCAAUGGUUAUACUGCUCAGGAAGCAUUAUCAAAUAAGCCAGCGAACAUCACUCAUGAGAAUUGGACCAGCCAUGUCAAUAAAUGGUCUGAUGAAAGAAACAAGGAAAUAUGUCAAAUGAAUAAGGAAAACCGAGAAGCUGUCAAGCAUCACCAAAAGACUGGAUCUAUGUCUUAUGUUGCCUUUUUCAGCAAACUUGAAAAAGACAAGUACAAUAAUCAGGACACAAGUCCCAUUGAGUUUUUCAAAGACACCCAUACAAACAGCAAGACUGGUAGCAUGAGCGAGCCGACACUUCUAGCUCAUAAUGCGAUGGAAAAGAAAAGGGAAACACAAUCAGAAGGUGAGUAGCUAGUAUCCGAUACAGCGAUUGUGGCUGAAGUUCUAAAGGAAGAAAGUGCCCAUAGCACCUUCCUUUCUAGCAUGGGGUAUGCAUCAAGAUCUGGGAGGUCUGGGAGCUCUCCCACAUCCGAGUUAGAAGAAAGAAUUGAACAGAAGGAUAGAGAGGCAAGAGAUGCAAAUGACAGGCAUCAGGAGGAGUUAGCUGCAAGACUUGAAGCACAAGAGAGAGUAUUUUAAGAGAUACAAAAGAAACAGCAAGAAGAAUUGGAAGCUCUAAAGAAGAGCCAACAAGAGAAGAAUGAAGCUUGUGUAAAGAAGCAAAAGGAGACGGAUAAUCUGCUAGAUUUUCUCUUGAGGGCUCAAGCAACUCAGCAAGCAACUCAGCAAUCCCAGUCCAAACCAGAUGGUUCAUGA
rnacentral:rRNA from 1 species